rnacentral:lncRNA from 1 species
CAUCAAGUUGCUUCCAAAAGGGAAAAAUAAGUUGACUCCAAAUCCUUCAAACUCGGAUGCGAAAGUUUAUAACAAAAGCCAAAGCAUUGGACCAAACGUUAUGUUUUCGACAUGCCGCCAUUAUUUAACCAAAUGGAAAGCGAGUCCAGGUGCUGCUUUCGACAUCACAAUAAGGGUUUUUAAAGAUCACCUCCGGCACUUGUUUUCCCACCAAUCCAUAAAUUUGGCUUGUGCAGCCAUUGUGUCCAACCUGUAGAGUUGAUACGCAUGAUUUGCGAUUUCUUGUCCAAAUGUCCAACCAAAAACGGCUCCUCCUACGAAAGACAGUCCAGCACCUAACAGAAAAAUAAGGGUUGAGAAAGCUUAAAGUAACUUCCAUUUGUAUUAAAACAUUAGUUGAACCAAGUUCUGUUACCAACUUAUAAUAGCGGAAAACUUGCAACCUAAAAGUUAUUUUGUUUCGUGUUCUUGUCUCCGGAAAACCCAUGUUGAGAAGCUUAAAAUAACUUCCCUUUGUCUCAUAACAUUAGUCGAACCGGACUCCUGACACCGACUUAAAAUAGCAGAAAACUCAGAACCUAGCAUGUUCUUUUAAUGCACGAAAGUUAAUUUUCUUCCAAGUCUUUUCAUGUUAUUGUAUCCAGAAAACUGGGCUAAACUGUAUUUUCUCCUUCAAUCUUAUCUGUUUCUAUAAACCGUAAGCUGUGGAACAAGCUGGACCAUCCUAGUACUACUAGUGCCUUGAAACCAGCAAAGAAAGAUACUGGUAAGACCUAGAUAGGCCAAGAAGACACACAAAAACAUACAACAAAAUAAAGAGAUUCAGUUAACAUGGAGAAUACUGAAAACGCGAGAGAUCAUGAGUGCUGUCAAGGCCGGCACAUUAACACUAGAUGUGCCUCAGACCCUUCCGGGUGAGGCCUAUUUGAUCAGGCACAUGACUGGUGAACCAACAUGUGCUUACCUGUAAGGCAAUAGGCAUAAAAAAAAGGCCCACCUGAUUGAAAUUCUCCUUCAUUCUUUUAUUUUCACUUUUUCGUUGGAUAUCUACCUUUAUUCAUCCUGGUAUUAGUCUCGGUAUUUGAGUGUUCAACUAUAAACAUGGACCAUCAGGAAAUCAUGCAUAUUGACUAGUAAAAAAAAUGCAUGUUAUAUAGAUAAAGUAGACCACACUUCAGAGUUUAUUAUAUGUCUUAAAGCUUAUAAUACGCACAUAUAGACACAUGCAUAUAUUGCGCUUUUUUUUGUGCCUUACGCCAUUGACAACACUGGGGAUCACGAAUCAUUGUGAAUGGUAAAACAGUUGGGCACUUACCGUUGCCUUAUGAACUUCUUGACUACCUAUCGGGAAGCAUAACUGAAUUCCUUGUACUGUGAUAUAUUCAUGUCAGCAGUAAAAGUACCAUGGAGGCCUCUAGUAGCCAGAUUGCAUUUUGCCCCUUCUACUAAAAGAGGGCAAAUUAGUCCCUGUAUGUUAGAUCAAAGAACAAAUUGAUCCUUUCUUUUAAAAUUUUCAUCCAUUUGUAUUGUUAAAACUAGUGUGACUGACGAAAUAACAAAACAAUGACAUGUGACAUGCCACGUGUACCUCAUGCUGAUGUACAAGUGCCAGUUUUAACAGUAGAAAUGGAUGAAAUGUUUAACACAAAGACCAAUUAGCCUUUUGAUCUAAAGUACAUGGACUAAUUUGUUCAGUUUUUGAGUAGAGGGGGUAAAAUGCAAUCCAACUUCUAGCACAAGGGCCUCCAUGGUACUUUUAUCUCAUAUCAGCUUAAUUAUGACACACUCCCCUAACUAUUAAAGGAACCGAGAUUUUGAUAUUCAGACCAAACCAGAUUUCGACAAUUUCAUCAUUAUGAAACAAAAACACAUAUGCAAACAAAGUGAAUAAGCAGUAUACUACCAUGUAAACUCUUCGAGUAUUUCCAGGCAAAACCUGCAGUUGUGAUAGCUCCGAUAGCACUUCCGUAUAAGGCGAU